GAUAUGACAGUUUUUGUUCAGUUUAAUAUUCUGACUUUCACAGCGAAAAUUGUCAGAAUAAAAAUUGUAAAAUAAUCAAACAUACUUGAACAUUUCUCAUUUUUGGCAACUCUGACAGGAUAAAAUAAUGUAACUGGCAGCCCAUCACUGUCAGUGACAGUUGCAGAAAAGAAUAAAAUUUAAAUCUUGUUUCGAAUGCCGUCACCGCUCCCGCAAAACAAAAAAAGAUCCAAGCAAAUUUUUGCCAAGGUUUCUGCUAACGAUAAGGACCCUCGCAUGAAGAAAAAAUCUCCCCACAACUUUAGCUGUGGCACCGCAGGUCAAGAAAUUUCGGCGAACGAAGAAGUCAACAUGUUGCAGCACAUUUGAGCGGGUUUUUUGACCACAAGAUGCCCCGGGUUAGGAUGGACUACUGCUGCGGAGAGUGCCGGAUAACGCGGACCCAACAGAUAAGGCUGUAAAAUUUAGCCACGAAAGGGACACAUAACCGGCCGCUUUCGGAGCUCUGAAUAAAGGCCGUUUUUGAAGUGGUGGGCUACGCCUUUUCUAGCCCGGACAACAAAAGCAGUAUGACAAGGAAUCGAUCCGAAAUCUAAACUGUAAAAUCUGAAAACAUAUAAACAAAAUGACAACAAUAAAUAAAAUAGAAAGAAA